UUUAUGGAGAGUUUGAUCCUGGCUCAGGAUGAACGCUGGCGGCGUGCCUAAUACAUGCAAGUCGAGCGAACGGACGAGAAGCUUGCUUCUCUGAUGUUAGCGGCGGACGGGUGAGUAACACGUGGAUAACCUACCUAUAAGACUGGGAUAACUUCGGGAAACCGGAGCUAAUACCGGAUAAUAUUUUGAACCGCAUGGUUCAAAAGUGAAAGACGGUCUUGCUGUCACUUAUAGAUGGAUCCGCGCUGCAUUAGCUAGUUGGUAAGGUAACGGCUUACCAAGGCAACGAUGCAUAGCCGACCUGAGAGGGUGAUCGGCCACACUGGAACUGAGACACGGUCCAGACUCCUACGGGAGGCAGCAGUAGGGAAUCUUCCGCAAUGGGCGAAAGCCUGACGGAGCAACGCCGCGUGAGUGAUGAAGGUCUUCGGAUCGUAAAACUCUGUUAUUAGGGAAGAACAUAUGUGUAAGUAACUGUGCACAUCUUGACGGUACCUAAUCAGAAAGCCACGGCUAACUACGUGCCAGCAGCCGCGGUAAUACGUAGGUGGCAAGCGUUAUCCGGAAUUAUUGGGCGUAAAGCGCGCGUAGGCGGUUUUUUAAGUCUGAUGUGAAAGCCCACGGCUCAACCGUGGAGGGUCAUUGGAAACUGGAAAACUUGAGUGCAGAAGAGGAAAGUGGAAUUCCAUGUGUAGCGGUGAAAUGCGCAGAGAUAUGGAGGAACACCAGUGGCGAAGGCGACUUUCUGGUCUGUA
rnacentral:rRNA from 1 species